rnacentral:rRNA from 1 species
GACGAACCGUCCGAACGUUAUUCGGAAUCACUGGGCUUACAGAGUUCGUAGGCGGUCCGGCAAGUUAGAUGUGAAAUCCCUUGGCUUAACCAAGGAACUGCGUUUGAAACUGCCGGACUCGAGGGAGAUAGAGGAAAGCGGAACUGAUGGUGGAGCGGUGAAAUGCGUUGAUAUCAUCAGGAACACCGGUGGCGAAGGCGGCUUUCUGGGUCUCUUCUGACGCUGAGGAACGAAAGCUAGGGGAGCGAACGGG